rnacentral:rRNA from 1 species
CCUACGGGUGGCAGCAGUGAGGAAUAUUGGUCAAUGGACGAGAGCCUGAACCAGCCAAGUAGCGUGAAGGAUGACUGCCCUAUGGGUUGUAAACUUCUUUUAUAUGGGAAUAAAAUGUUCCACGUGUGGCUUUUUGUAUGUACCAUAUGAAUAAGGAUCGGCUAACUCCGUGCCAGCAGCCGCGGUAAUACGGAGGAUCCGAGCGUUAUCCGGAUUUAUUGGGUUUAAAGGGAGCGUAGGUGGAUUGUUAAGUCAGUUGUGAAAGUUUGCGGCUCAACCGUAAAAUUGCAGUUGAUACUGGCAGUCUUGAGUACAGUAGAGGUGGGCGGAAUUCGUGGUGUAGCGGUGAAAUGCUUAGAUAUCACGAAGAACUCCGAUUGCGAAGGCAGCUCACUGGACUGCAACUGACACUGAGGCUCGAAAGUGUGGGUAUCAAACAGGAUUAGAUACCCCUGUAGUC